AAGCUUCAGGAAACGGGAGGGUGCCUCUGGAGGAACCCGGUGACGGGUGCUGCAUGGCUGUCGUCAGCUCGUGUCGUGAGAUGUUGGGUUAAGUCCCGCAACGAGCGCAACCCUUGUCUUUAGUUGCCAUCAUUAAGUUGGGCACUCUAAAGAGACUCCCGGUGUCAAACCGGAGGAAGGUGGGGAUGACGUCAAGUCCUCAUGGCCUUUAUGACCAGGGCUACACACGUACUACAAUGGCAUAGACAAAGGGCAGCGACAUCGCGAGGUGAAGCGAAUCCCAUAAACUAUGUCUCAGUCCGGAUUGGAGUCUCCAACUCGACUCCAUGAAGUUGGAAUCGCUAGUAAUCGUAGAUCAGCAUGCUACGGUGAAUACGUUCCCGGGCCUUGUACACACCGCCCGUCACACCACGGGAGUUGGUUGUACCAGAAGCAGUUGAGCAAACUUUUCGGAGAUGCAGGCUGCCAAGGUAUGAUUGGUAACUGGGGUGAAGUCGUAACAAGGUA
rnacentral:rRNA from 1 species